rnacentral:rRNA from 1 species
AGCGAACGCUGGCGGCGUGCCUAACACAUGCAAGUCGAACGUGAAAGGGAGCAAUCCCAAGUAAAGUGGCGUACGGGUGAGUAACACGUAGGUAAUCUACCCCAGAAUCUGGAAUAACCGGCCGAAAGGCUGGCUAAUACUGGAUAGAGCGACGGAAUCCGAAAUUGGGUUUUUCGGGAAAGGGAGCCUGUAAAAAGGCCUUCGUUCUGGGAUGAGCCUGCGUCCCAUCAGCUAGUUGGUGAGGUAAAAGCUUACCAAGGCAAUGACGGGUAGCUGGUCUGAGAGGACGAUCAGCCACACUGGGACUUGAACACGGUCCCGGAUCCCUCGGGGAGCAGCAGUGGGGAAUCUUGCGCAAUGGACGAAAGUCUGACGCAGCAACGCCGCCUGAGUGAAGAAGGCCCUCGGGUUGUAAAGCUCUGUCGAGUGGGACGAAAAUGCUUGGAGUUCACAGCUCCAGGAACUGACGGUACCAAUAAAGGAAGCACCGGCUAACUCCGUG